CAGGCAGCGUCGGGCUGCAGGCGGGCUAGUCAGGGGGGGCAUGUCUGCCGUUCCUACCUGGGUAUAUAAGCCUCUGGACUGUGGGGGGUUACUCUGAUCACACUGCCUCUCCAUUCCCUCUUUGAGUUGGUCCAAGUCCUUCUUUGGCGACGUCCACGUUUCAUUUUAAAGUCAAUGUUCGACUCUUCCAGAGCAUCGCCAGGUGACACUGUUUUGAUUUUAAAAAUAUUUUUGCUAACUUUUUUUGAUCUUCUCAAGCCUUUCCUGUGAAGUCUCCCUGUGACGGGAUCGACACAUUUGUUUUUUUCAUCUGUACUUUCAUCUGGAGGUUGAUACAGGCCCGCGCUGCGAUGACCUCUGGAUGCGCGUGCACUGUUGUGCUGUGGAAUAUUGUGGGUCAGUGUCGAGAAGGAGAAUGGAAGGAGAUGGUACACUUUCUGUCAAAGAAAAAAAUGUCAUCCCUCCCAAUCUACCGUUGAGGCAAAACGUAGCCUACUUUUUUCUUUCUUCCUUCCUUCCUUUCCUUUCUGUUCUCAUGCUACCGUUUAGACUCGGCUAUCUCACUCUCUGUCUCUUGCACUCACACCGUCAGUCUUUCUCGCUCUCCCUCCCUUCCUCCGCCACUCUUCUCGAUUUGUCCUUCAGCUCUGUCAGUGCACAGUCCAUAUUCUCUGAUCCUUCUAUAGCAGUUUGAUCAGGCUCCCUCAGUCAAACAUAGCAUGGCCAGGUAGGGAGGGACGGUUAGCCGUGAGAUGGCGCAUUUCAAUGCUAAAUCAUCAGUUUAUACAGUCUUCUAAUAAGAAGGGUUGAAGUCUUUUUUUUUUUUUCUUUUUUUUUUUUACCUGCCCUUUUUCCUUUUUGGUAUUUCUUCCUCCUCUUAUCCUCUUCCUCCCAUUCGGAGUGAGAGAGGCAGCAUCUCCCAUGACCCUCCUCUCCUCUCUGCAUCCCUAAACUCUCCAUCGCUGAUUCAGCUCCCAGGGAAGGGACGGACACUCUGCCUGCAGCAGCCGCAACGCAUGGGCCACCACCCCUCCGGAUCACCCCCCACCGGACUCAGGAGCUGUCCCGCUUCCGUGGGACCUCACACCAAAAAUGCUUUGCUAAAGCUGGUAAAAUGGAACCAAAUCAACUGUUCAAUGGAUUUGGUCCCCUUCAACCAGCUGUAGCUGUGCAUUGAUCACUCCGGAUCAUUCAAGAGAGACCACGAAUGGUUGAGAUAGACACCAACACGGCAUCUGAUUCAAUGACUGACAGCAGGCCCCACCAGAGAGCAGAGACACUGUGUCAGGAAUGGUCCCACCUAUCCAGAAGCACUGUUGGCCGACCCAGUUGACCCUUCAGACCAGAACAGAGUAGGCUCCGACUGUGGGUAAAUCUAUUUGUACACCAGAAGGGAUAUUCCCUUUUUAGUGAAAAACAAUCCAGGUAAGUAUUACUGCAUACUAUUAGUAACUGUUCUGUAUUUAUAUAAUUAUAUUAUUGCUAAGCUUGGUAAACAACGGUACACAGAGAGGCCAUUUCCUAAGGUGAGGGUGCAUGUGUUCGGGGUGAAGCAAGACUCUCCCUCUCUGAGUCUUAAUGCACAUGUCUGAUCAAUAAAAAUCUAUCCUGAAGUCCAUAAA
ensembl:lncRNA